rnacentral:lncRNA from 1 species
CCGCUGCUGGAUAACUGACUUGUUUAUCAGGGUACCAAUUACCAUUCCCAGCUCACAUCUUGUGUGGGCUUGGCAGGCAUCAGCUUCAAGCACCUAGAAGGCACUUCCUUCUCCAGAAUACCUUCAGGGAAAGAAGAACUCUGUCACAACUGGCUGAAGUUGGAAUUAGCUCCACUUCUGUCUGCAUUUCAAAAUAAGUGAAGACUAACUAGUCCAGGAGGGUUUCUUCAACAGACAUGGUCAGUGAGCAGAGUGGUAAGAUUCCUGAUUUGGUUGAACUAUGGAGUUCCAGAGCAGUCCAAGUUGCAUAAUGAGUAUGUGUGAUGUUAAGUGAAAAACCCAAAAGGAACAUCUAUCUCUGUCCUAAAAUAAUCAAUAUCCUAGCCAGCAUAGUACCCUUGGUGAUAAAGGAAGAGCAUAUUUAUGUGUGGUUUGAUUAACGUCAUGUGUACCUGCAUCUGGAGACUCUUAGACCACAUCUGUAGUUCAUCUAACCCCAUUUAUUUAUAUAUUGAGAUCUGCAGAUUUCAUAGAAAAAAACUCACAGAUAGUUAGAUCUUUUCUUUAAAAAUAUCAUCAUAUCUAAAAACAUCAACUUGGGAAGAUUGGCAUGAAAACUCUGAGGGGCUUAAGAAAAGAUCUAAUUCUGGGCACUACUCAGCCCCCUAUGAGUCCCACUGUUGACUUAGCCUUGAUACUUCAGCAAUUUUAAGAUACUCUCAAUUUGUGAAGCAUUUCAACAAUGCUAGAAAACAACCAGCACGGACUUGUUAAACAUAAACACUCCCUUCUCUAUUCAUGUGAAGACUUUUGUACAGAUACCAUGUCUGUAACAAUGGCUGUAAAUGCUAUUAAUUUUAAUAUCUGGCUAACACCUCAGUUUACAUUAAUUUAAAGAAGGAAAGGCCCUCUAUAACUAGGUACACCCCAACUAAUCCUUCUACCUUGCUUCUCUCUAACUUCUGCCAAAAAGAGAUUUCAUUUUCAUGGGUGUGGAGUGCAAAGACAAGGGAAAUGCCCUUCUGCAGUUCUUGGAAUGUUUCUGUCAUUAAAUUCCCAUGAAUGUCUUGAUUGUACCAUCACGUUAAUAGUCUGCUCUGAAUUAGGAGGAAAUUUUAUUUCAUAAUACUUGUCACCAAAAACAAGCACUUCUCAUCACCAAUCCAUAACAUGUACGUAUAAACAUCUGAAAAUUAAAUACAAAUGUAGAGUGAAACCUGAAUUUCUAAGAUGGAACAGGUUAAACUAGUAGAAGGAAAUUUUAUAGAGCUUUAAUAUUUUAAUUUUUAAAGUCUAAAUAAGAACCUAUUAUUUGACAUUCUGAUAAAGAACAGAUUACAUUUAAAUUUGAAAUAUGAUCAAGAAAAUUCAACAAACAAGGGCAAAGUUAGGUGAAGGGAAAACAUAUCCUAUAAGGUUAUAAUGAUUAAAUGCAUAUAAGUGCUCAGAGGCUAAAGGAAAAACCAAUUCAAAGGAACGUUUAGAAGUAUAAGGAAAAAUAUAUAGUUUGAGAGGAAAUGAGUGAGUCAGCUAUGUCAGUUAGGGCCCUCAAGGAAGUGAACUAACAAAAAUCUAAAACUAUUCAUUGAUGUAGCUUUCCUACACACUUUGGUGUUUUUCAAGGAACAGAAUCCUGAAAAUGUGUGCUUAUUAUACACAUUGUUAGAAGUACUAAUAGGAAUAGCAGAGUCCUAGGGUCAAUAUAGAUUCCUUUGAUUAGUGACUUACAGUUGGAAGCUUAGAGUCUUCCAAAGUACUUUGUGAUGAUGAAAAUUACAUUAUUUAACAUUCAAACUUUUACACUUUGGAGAACAAAAGAGACAUAAUAAUUUUAUUGAAACAACACACAUAAUUCUGGCCAAUCUUGGGCCACACAAUUCCAGAGACUUCAUAUUAGUUCCAAAGAUGUUGGGAAUUCUAUAAUUUCCAAAGUUGUCCCCAAGGACCCAGACCUCCUUAGGGUGAAUUUGGCCCAGAGAAUGCGGACAUUUUCUUCCAGAAUUACAUCAGCCUGUGACAGAGUAAGAGGUGAGAAGGUGAGAGAACAAGAGGGGGCCAAACUAGCUUUUAUAACAAAUGCACUCUUGCCACAACGACAUUGAUCUCUUGCCCUCAUCACUUUAUUACUUCUAAAAGGGCUCCGUUCUCAACACUAUUGUGCAGGAGAUUGCAUUUUCAACACAUCAAGUUUGCAGAAACAUUGAAAUCAUAAUGCAAGUGAUAUAUACUCUUUUUUAAGAUACAUAUACUGUUUAAAAGCUGUUAGGUAAUUUCCCUAAUAUCACACAGCUAGUAAUAGCCAGUUAAAGGAAAAUUUGUUAAUCUAUGUUCUUCCAAUUCAAUUUGAGAUUCCUUACUUCGGUAUUGGCUUCAACCUAUUCAGUGUUUCAAAUGAUAAUCAUACAGACUUUGUUUAUGAUACAACCAAUGGAGUUACAUCCAAUGGAGAGGACGGAACUAAAUCUAUCAAAGGAAGAAAGAGGCAGAAACACUACCCAAUCACAUUUAAAAGAAAUAAAUGACUUGGAAAGACUCAGAUUAUUUAGUUUUAUUUACAAGACUCCAAUGGGCACUUAGAUGGGAAUUUUCUGACAACAAACUUUUCCCCUAUCAUGGCUGUACCAUAGUUAUGAGUUCCCAGAGGCUAGGGUUUUUCUAUUCACUCCUUAGUUUCUCUAUCACCCUGGUUGCGAGUCCUACACUUGAAAAGCGGAUGUUCCCCUAGCAUCAGGUGUGCUCUUUACAUAUAACCACAUUGGCUGCUUUGAUCCUCUGUUUCCUGUACAUCUGGCUGAAGAAAAGCCAGCUGAGGGGCUGUAUGGGUGCAGUUGUGUGCCAUGUCAGAGCCACAAUGGCUAUAGCACGCUGGGUUACACUUUUGAAUUGCAUUCUAAGCAUCACUGCACAUCUGAUACCAGCUCACCUAUUUUGGAUUUGGAGUUCACCUUACUCAGGCAAACAAGUUCCUGUGCUUCAUUUCUGAUAGUACAUCUUCUCUGCUUCUGAUAGUUCAUUUCUGCUUUCAGUCUUUCUUCCCUCCUUGCUUUCUCAAUCAGCUUACAUCUCAUAAGAGGGUUACUGAACUUUAAACAAAUGCUUACAGUGAAAAAAAUCUAGAAAGUGAUAUAAAUGAUUCAUGCAGGUUUGUAACACAACCUCUGCCCCAGAAAAUCCUGGAAAAUUAAAAAGUAAGAUGAGACAAACUGUUUUGAAAGGUGUUUUGAAUUUUUGGUAUGAGCAUACACAAAUGACAGGGUUACCCAUGGUGCUAAGAAAUUUCAAUAAACAGGAUACUUGACAAACAAGGAUAAUGAAAGCAUAGAAUUGCAUCAUUGUUUCAUUAGAGCAAACAAUGACCCUUAUGGUGCUGGGACUGUACAGGACUGCAUUAUCCUCUAUUCCAAGCACAAGCACAAAUACAGAACAGAAGAAUUAAUGAGAUGUCAUCUGAAUUUCCAUGGGUUAUAUUUACAGCUUAGAAUUGUAGCUGUAUUGAGUGGUGCCAAACAUUCUUAUUUUAUAAUAGCAUUAGUGACAUUUCUCUUGGAUAAUCCUAUUUGUUUUCAUUUACUUUAAUGAGUUAGUUUGGGAUGGUAACCUGCAGUGGAAAACUUGGGAACAGGUGACAGCAUGAUUUGAAAUCUCUUUUGAAUUGAAAGGUAGUUAAAAGCUAAACUAAAUACUUAGAUGUAUGGUAGUUAACCCACACUAUAUUUUACUCUAAAAACAGAGGCUAACGUGCCAAUUUUAAGAACCUAGGACUUUAUUACCUUUUAAAACUUUCUUGCAUGUAUAAGUGGAUAACGAGGACUAAUUUGCUGCAUUUUUGUGGCCUGUUUCCACAUGUCUGUAUUUCCCAAUUGUGCUUUCUUUAUGGAAAAGAGUGCUGGGCACAACACAUUUUUUUUUCCAUGAGGUGAUCAUAUGUUUAUGAUUCAUUAAAUCCUUCAAUAUGUACACAUGCAGUAGUGAUGCAGAAGGCUAAUGGGCAUGGAUAUUCGCCAAGCCUUUAGGUGUCCCAGCUACAAAAGGGGUUUCUAAUGUUGAGAACUUCAAUUAUGUCACUUAAACCCAUCAACCUCUUUUCCUUACCUAAUGUUAUAAAUCUUUCAAAUCUAUUAUUUCCAUAACAUCUGAUGCCCAGAGUGAAAGAACCCCUCUGACAUUUUAGUUUUCUUUAGAGACUUAGAAUGAGAAAAUGGAGUCUCUUUAAUUCUUCUAUAUCAAUUAAAAAGAAGAGAACUCUCUCUGUAGAUCUCCAACAUCUUUGUAGAGCCCAAGAUAGGAAUUCAUGAUUGACCCUGGUGUUUUAAACCCAAAGAAUAAACAGCAACAUGACACUUCCAUCCAAAGACCUCUGUUCCCAGGGUGGCCCAGGAUGGCCUCAGCCUCACCUUGCAAAAGCUACUGUCUACUAAAUCAACUGUGAGGUCCAGGAAAGAACUCCUAUUUUAUAAGUAUAGUUCAAGGGGCAAGUUAUGCCAAUGGAGAUAAUUUAUUUUUUAUUAAUUUUAUUGGUACAUUUUACGUAUACAAUAUAAUGACAUUCAUCCUUGGAAAUUUGCACCUUUACAUAAUCUCUCUUGAUGCUUAUUUUUUCCUCAUUCUCCUGCCCUCCCUUCAACCCCUCCAUCCCUCCCUAUUUACAAAGACUUUGUUUCCAUUUUUUCAUUUUCUCAUAUUAAUUCCAUUCCCUUCUUUCUUUUUCCCUACCCCUUCCACUUCCCCUUCCCCUUUGCCCCUUUUGGAGAUAAUUUAAUAUGAAGGAUAUAAUGAACUACUUCCUAAGUACUUGGUCACCAAACAUCCAAAAAGCAAACAUUAAGUUAUCACAGAAAGAAAUAAGAUGCAGUUGCCAUCUAUAAUAUUGGGAAUGAAAGAAAAAUUAAGAGAAUUAUUAUAGCUAGAGGCUUGGAAAAAGGAUCCCAGCAGAUCCGCCACUCAAUUCUUAGGAGGGGGCCCUAGUCUGAUGGUGCUGGUGCCUUGGACCUUGCAGCAUGGCUCAAUAGAGAGUAGGUCAGACCCUUAUGGAAAGGUGACCAUUGCCUGGUGUCAGUAGGGGCCUGUGUGGUUAGUCCAGACUUCUAAGGAGGGGAUGCUGCCAGCUAAGACCAUCUCUGAGGGGCUCCACGAGACUGGUGCUGUACAUUUUGGGGAAAUUGGUAAUUGGUAUCAUCUGUUGUUACUGGAAUGAAUUGCCACUACUUGAGCAAGG